rnacentral:lncRNA from 1 species
UCCUGUUUAUUCCCUUCUUUACCCCCAAGACUUUAUUGGCCUUCUUCACUUCCCCUAAACCCGAGUCCCAUCCAAGCCCUUUAAAGCCUCAGCUACCCAUUUUCCUUCACGAACGUCUCCCUCCCAACAUUACCCUUCCCUGCACUAAAGCCAGCCUGACCUUCCUUCCUGUUAGUGGUUGUGUCUGCUUUGAGGGGCCUAACUGGCCCCUUGCCUGUGGAGCUCAGCCCUGAGAUCCCAGGGCUGCAUGAAAGAGCAGUACUGACUGGUUUACAGGCCCUUCUCCUGCAGCAUGGCCCCUGCCUUAAACCUCCAGCCUGGGCGACAGUGUGAGACUCCAUUUAAAAAUAAAAAUAAACAGGCGUGAGAGCCUGGACUGUGGUCUAGUUUAGAAGCUGCACAAUGACUGAAGUAUUUCAUUGCUUUGGAAGUGAAAUGGAAAGAGUAGAGGGGCUGGAACGUGUUCAUCAGCCAGUGCUCCCUUCCACUAAGCUGGUGAUAAGCUAGUGGCAGUGGUAAAGGUGAAAUGGGGUUAUGCUGGUC